rnacentral:rRNA from 1 species
CAGUAGCCACGGUAAUACAGAGGGUGCGAGCGUUAAUCGGAUUUACUGGGUGUAAAGCGUGCGUAGGCGGCUUCUUAAGUCGGAUGUGAAAUCCCUGAGCUUAACUUAGGAAUUGCAUUCGAUACUGGGAAGCUAGAGUAUGGGAGAGGAUGGUAGAAUUCCAGGUGUAGCGGUGAAAUGCGUAGAGAUCUGGAGGAAUACCGAUGGCGAAGGCAGCCAUCUGGCCUAAUACUGACGCUGAGGUACGAAAGCAUGGGGAGCAAACAGGAUUAGAUACCCCUGUAGUCCCUGUCUCUUAUAC